GUGGCGCACAUUAGUAUUUGUAACCGAUAUUUUUGUGCGCUCCUGCUGCGUUGUCUGUCAGAGUAUGCAAAAUAAAAAAAUGAAAUAAAUCGGUUUCGCAAGUUUGUACUGGUUUUGUUCGUCAUACUUGCCUGUUUUUUUUUCAUUAUUCUGUGCUUGAGCCUGUUUAAUUGUUCGGGAUCUUCAAAACAAUUAUUAUCCGGAGUGGAUACUAUCGACUGAGAUCAGCGCAUACAACGCCCGAGGAGAAUGCGGAAUUGAAUCCGCAGCGGCUAGCUGACUGCAUCCACAAGCAACAACAAAUAGUUCUUUUUGUAUUUCAUGCAUUCGAAUGGUCCAUCCGGAAGAAUCGCAGUUGCAGGAUAAGUUAAUCUGGAGAUCAUCAUGGAAGCCGCGAAGCCGCCGGAUUUAAACCGACCCCUUUCAAGGUUAGACUUCCUUUCGGCGAGAGAUUGGCUUCGAAAGUGUAAAGAUGAAUGGAUCAUAGAUUUGCGACUUUAAAUGCGGAAAAGAGUUUUUAAUAUAUUCCAUUGCAUAUAGUGCACAGUGGCAUAAAAUGAAAAAGGUGUUAAGAAUAUGUUAGGCGGAAGAAGUAAUUACAGAACAUUGUAAACCUUGUUGUAAACAUUCAAUUUUAUAUUUCAGUGUGAUUUCGAAAUUAUAGUGUAAAAGACAAGAACCAGCGUUGUGGAAACAAAAUGACUAAAUAAAAGUUAUGUUAUAGAAAAUACAA